rnacentral:rRNA from 1 species
AUUGAACGCUGGCGGCAUGCCUUACACAUGCAAGUCGAACGGCAGCACGGGUGCUUGUACCUGGUGGCGAGUGGCGAACGGGUGAGUAAUACAUCGGAACAUGUCCUGUAGUGGGGGAUAGCCCGGCGAAAGCCGGAUUAAUACCGCAUACGAUCCACGGAUGAAAGCGGGGGACCUUCGGGCCUCGCGCUAUAGGGUUGGCCGAUGGCUGAUUAGCUAGUCGGUGGGGUAAAGGCCUACCAAGGCGACGAUCAGUAGCUGGUCUGAGAGGACGACCAGCCACACUGGGACUGAGACACGGCCCAGACUCCUACGGGAGGCAGCAGUGGGGAAUUUUGGACAAUGGGCGAAAGCCUGAUCCAGCAAUGCCGCGUGUGUGAAGAAGGCCUUCGGGUUGUAAAGCACUUUUGUCCGGAAAGAAAUCCUUGGCUCUAAUACAGUCGGGGGAUGACGGUACCGGAAGAAUAAGCACCGGCUAACUACGUG